rnacentral:rRNA from 1 species
GUUACCGUCGGGGGCAUUCGUAUUUCAUAGUAAGAGGUGAAAUUCUUGGAUUUAUGAAAGACGAACAACUCCGAAAGCAUUUGCCAAGGAUGUUUUCAUU